UACGGAGGGUGCAAGCGUUAUCCGGAUUCACUGGGUUUAAAGGGUGCGUAGGUGGGCAGGUAAGUCAGUGGUGAAAUCUCCGGGCUUAACCCGGAAACUGCCAUUGAUACUAUUUGUCUUGAAUACUGUGGAGGUCAGCGGAAUAUGUCAUGUAGCGGUGAAAUGCUUAGAUAUGAGAUAGAACACCAAUUGCGAAGGCAGCUGGCUACACAAAUAUUGACACUGAGGCACGAAAGCGUGGGGAGCAAACAGG
rnacentral:rRNA from 1 species